AUGUGGACAACAAAGCAGCUCUGCAUCGCAGUUCUGAUCACCUUCUUUUCUCCGCUUAUCGUGCGACAUUUGAUAUUGAACAACCCCAUAUCAGGAACAUCCCGCUAUCAAAUUCUCCAUGCCAAUCCCCUUACAUGGCUCAGCAACCGAGUGGACGCAGAUGCACCGGCAGCCAAUCCAGUGAAUGCGCAAGUGGUAUCAUUGCCAGCGGAUGAUUCAAGCAGCCUGGAUCCCAGAAAUUCCUCUACUAGUGUGGUAUCAUCACCAACGGAUGAUUCAAGCAGUCUGGAUCCCAGAAACUCCUCUACUGAAAGACUACACUGGCUAGACACAUGGAACCAUAUGAAGCAGCUAACCAACGUUUCCACUGGCCUUCCCCAUGCGACCGAAGCGAUCAAAGAUGCAAGAACCGCAUGGGAAAACUUGACGACAACGGCUCAAAAUGCAACUUCUCCGGGAUCGGAGAAGCGGAGGCUCUGCCCGUAUUCGGUUCGCAGAAUGGACGCUUCCAAGUCGGCGGGCGGUCACUUUACCAUGGACAUACCGUGUGGGCUUGUCGCAGGUUCUUCCAUAACUGUCAUAGGCACUCCCGGCAGCCUGUCUGGUAACUUCUGGAUUGAUCUUGUCGGGACGGCACUCCCGGGGGAACCUGAAGAACCCAUUGUGCUGCGGUACAAUGUUCGUCUAACCGGCGAUAAACUUGCUCAAGGUCCGGUCAUAGUGCAGAACGCCUUCACUGCAAGUAAUGGCUGGGGUUAUGAGGAUCGUUGUCCCAACAGCAACUCGAACAAUGCAACUCAAGUGGAUGAUUUGGAGAGAUGUAAUUCCAUGGUGGGCAGAGAAGAAAAGAGCAUAAAGAACUCUACACAUCACGCUGGUCCCAAGCAAGGUGGAAAACCAAGCACAUAUUUUCCUUUUAAGCAGGGAUACCUUGCUAUCACAACUCUCCGGGUAGCGCUCGAAGGAAUACAUAUGACGGUUGACGGGAAACAUAUUACUUCAUUUGCAUACCGAGCGGGCUCGGAACCUUGGUUUGGCACUCAAGUAAGGAUUUCUGGUGACUUCAAGCUAGCAAGUGCCAUUGCAAGUGGACUGCCUACCUCCGAAGACUUGGAAAAUAGCUUGGAUCUUGAAAUGCUGAAGUCAUCACCUAUUCCAGACGGCAAAGAUCUUGACCUUCUGAUCGGCAUCUUCUCAACAGCAAACAACUUCAAGCGUAGAAUGGCGAUUCGAAGGACCUGGAUGCAAUAUGAUGCUGUGCGUAACGGAACAGUUGCGGUCCGAUUUUUCGUUGGCCUGCAUACGAACCUGAUGGUAAAUAAGGAACUCCGGAACGAGGCACGCACAUAUGGUGACAUUCAGGUGUUGCCCUUUGUUGAUUACUACAGCCUAAUCACAUGGAAGACACUGGCAAUAUGCAUAUAUGGGACCAACGCUGUGUCGGCCAAGUAUCUAAUGAAAACAGAUGAUGAUGCUUUUGUUCGAGUACAUGAAAUCUACUCCUCGGUUAAACAGCUGAAUGUCAGCAACGGUCUGCUCUAUGGUCGUAUCAAUUCAGAUUCAGGUCCUCACAGAAAUAGUGAAAGCAAGUGGUACAUAAGCCCGGAGGAAUGGCCUGAAGAGAGAUACCCACCAUGGGCUCAUGGACCAGGAUAUGUGGUUUCAGAAGACAUUGCGAAGACAAUCAACACUUGGUAUAAAACAAGUCGUCUAAAGAUGUUCAAACUAGAAGAUGUGGCAAUGGGCAUAUGGGUUGACGAAAUGAAGAAGGGUGGUUUACCUGUGAGAUACGAAACAGAUGAGAGGAUUCACACUGAUGGUUGUAAGGAGGGGUACAUUGUUGCUCACUAUCAAGAACCAAGGAAUAUGCUAUGCAUAUGGGAGACACUCCUAAGGACAAAUCAAGCAAUGUGCUGCAACUAA
rnacentral:rRNA from 1 species